CCCCUCUCAGGGUGGCACUGGAGAGUUUCCAGUAAUCUGCCAGUCUCGACUAUGGGAGGGAGAGUCAGGCAGAGGCAUACCCAUUCCAUUUCUAGCUUGGACAGUGGCUAGCAAGUGGAAGGUGAUCUGCUACAGAU